CAGAGUGCAUAGACCGUAUAUACAUUUUUUGUCGUUAGUUUUCAUGGUCAAAAUGAGAGAUCAGGUGGCCGAUCUUAAAAUAAAUCAAUAUUGACUUUUUUUAUAGAGCGUUAAAGUUUUGCAAAGCCAGGGGGCGGGGCUACUUGGAUGACAGUCCGGUCUGGAAUGAUUGACAGGUCCUAUGGAGGAGGCAGCAGAGACUCUGCUCUCCUCGUUUGGAUUAAUUCUGAUAUAACAACUGUUGGUUUAUUUAUCGGUGCAGCAGCAGAACAUUUUCCACAGACAGUUUUCCUGCCCGUUGGCUCGUUUUAACGAGUUUUCUACCUUCGGCUGAUUCUACCAGCAGACACUGAAAGGACUCUGAUAGUUCAAGUGAAAGUAGCAGUUCCUCCUUAAGGUCAGAGAUUGCAGCAUCUGAGGGCCUCUUCAAAAGAAGAUGUAGUUGAUGAAGGCAUUCUGGAGCAGGACCAGAAAGACUACGACCAAGCAGCCUUGAGAUCUUAGGCAGCAUCUCCCUCAGUUCUGCCGGGCCAGCUCAGCUUCCCCUCAGAAGAAGUGCCACCACCUGCCAGAUGAAGGAGCCUUUUGACAGGCAGCUGGCAUCGUGAUUGGACUGUACUUUGGUCUGUUCCAAUCCAGCUUCAGCUCCAGAGACGGCAGGCGGGACGAGUCAACGGAGGCCGGGUGGACGAAGGCAUGCAGCUGAGUACAAUCCAGAAAACAACAGAGGAGGAGUGCAGCGUAUGUCUCUUAGAAAACAUCAUAGUAUAGCCUUUGGUAUGAAAAAACGCCAUCAUAUACAUUGUAUAUUGUACAAAUAACAAGUCAAAGGAAAGAGACAUACAUUGUAGAAUUGUAGUAAUUGUGGGCUGACUGAUUUACUGAUUGUCAGUAUUUUAUUUUUUACUGAUUUACAGUAAUAAAUCCAUUUAAAAAUGGCGCUACUUUGGCUCUGAACCUUAAUCUACCUGUGGUUGCUCUGUCUACUGGAGUGAUUUGAUUGGUUAUACGUCACGAUUAAAACUCCUUUAACUUAACAUCUGUAAACAAAACAAAAAUGUAUCAACCAAGUGUUCUGUUAGAGUUUGUGUUCUUCUAAGUUUAACUCCCAAGAUUUUAAAUACUUUCAUUUACUGCAAAUGAAUAUCUACUCCAAAUGUCUCAGUAAUAAUCAUUAUCAGCCUUAAAAACCCACAAAACACCCCUCUAUACUUGACCACACUUAGUACAGUCCGGUUCCCCCUUCUAUAAAUCUUCUUGGAAUCAUCCACUUCCUGUUUGUCAAAGUGGCCUUCUACCUGGACAGGUUUUGUUGGAGCUCAUGCAGCAAACAUUUUGGGUAACUGCACUUUAAUAUGGAUGGAUGACACUGAAUUAGAGUCUGUUUUAAUGAGACUGAGUUAAGAUGUGUAGCUCUGUCAUUAAAUAGGAAAUUAUUUCUCAGAAUUCACAGAGAAAAGUCUGAAAUGUUUGCUAGGUUAGUGUCCCACAUGUUCUUUGGCUCAGCUAAAGCUAACUCUCUCCAACUUCUGGAUCUCUUGAGUUGCUUGUUGUUAAAAUAUCUUGCUAGAGGUGCUGAAGCUCAGAAAGUCUGAGAUGUUUGUUCAAAAUAAGCUCAUUCUCAAGUCUUAUCUGAACUGUCCUCUUUUGUUUGAACUUUCCCUAAACUUAGGAAUUAAUGACAGAGCAGCACAUCCAGACUCAGUCUCAUUUAUGUAGAGAUUAAACUUCAGUGUCAUUCAUUGAUGUUAAAGUGCAGUUUUUCAAAUGUUUGUUGCACAUGCUCCUGACUAAACCAGUCCAGGUGGAAGAUGAUGUGAAGAGAAAGCUCCAGAGAAUGAAUAUCACACAUUUACGUUGGAAAUAAAUGUCCUUUAAUCAGACAUUGUCACGCAAAAGUUGGAUUUCCCUUUAA
ensembl:lncRNA